rnacentral:rRNA from 1 species
CCCCUAGAUGUUCAGGGCCGCACGCGCGCUACACUGAACAGUUCAACAAGUCUUAACCUUGGCCGAUAGGUCUGGGUAAUCUUUGAACGCUGUUCGUGAUUGGGAUAGACCUUUGCAAUUAUGGGUCUUCAACGAGGAAUUCCUAGUAAACGCAAGUCAUCAGCUUGCAUUGAUUACGUCCCUGCCCUUUGUACACACCGCCCGUCGCACCUACCGAUUGAAUGGUCCGGUGAAAUCUCGGGACGGCGGCUUGGUCGCUUGCGUCCGACUGCUGAAACUUGAUUAAACCAUAUCAUUUAGAGGAAGGUGAANUCGUANCA